UACGGGGGGGGCAAGCGUUGUUCGGAAUUACUGGGCGUAAAGGGCUCGUAGGUGGCCAACUAAGUCAGACGUGAAAUCCCUCGGCUUAACCGGGGAACUGCGUCUGAUACUGGAUGGCUAGAGAUUGGGAGAGGGAUGCGGAAUUCCAGGUGUAGCGGUGAAAUGCGUAGAGAUCGGAAAGAACACCAACGACAAAAGCACUCUGCUGGGCCGACACUGACACUGAGAGACGAAAGCUAGGGGAGCGAAUGGG
rnacentral:rRNA from 1 species